ACCUUGACAUAUCAUUGUAAAGAGCUCGUCUGCGCAGCAUAUAAGAAGCACAUGGUCCGCAAAACAGUGCGAAACAGCAAUAAGGAGUGUCGGCAACGACAGUGCUCAAGAGAUCUGUGUGCCAGAAAUUCCUGUAACUCUGACGCAUCUGCAUUUUCUCAACCCGAUCAUCCAGCCCCAUUUUCCUUGAGAUCCAAAGAGAAAAACCAAAAAUAAUAACAAUAAGUCUACUGCUUUUGCAAAGAAACUAAAGGGAGAGAUAGAGAAGGAGG
rnacentral:misc_RNA from 1 species